rnacentral:rRNA from 1 species
GACGAACGCUGGCGGCGUGCUUAACACAUGCAAGUCGAGCGGUAAGGCCCUUCGGGGUACACGAGCGGCGAACGGGUGAGUAACACGUGGGUGAUCUGCCCUGCACUUCGGGAUAAGCCUGGGAAACUGGGUCUAAUACCGGAUAUGACCAAGGACUGCAUGGUUUUUGGUGGAAAGGUUUACUGGUGCAGGAUGGGCCCGCGGCCUAUCAGCUUGUUGGUGGGGUAAUGGCCUACCAAGGCGACGACGGGUAGCCGACCUGAGAGGGUGACCGGCCACACUGGGACUGAGAAACGGCCCAGACUCCUACGGGAGGCAGCAGUGGGGAAUAUUGCACAAUGGGCGAAAGCCUGAUGCAGCGACGCCGCGUGAGGGAUGACGGCCUUCGGGUUAUAAACCUCUUUCGACGGGGACGAAGCGCAAGUGACGGUACCCGGAGAAGAAGCGCCGGCCAACUACGUGCCAGCAGCCGCCGCCGUAA